AUUGAACGCUGGCGGCAGGCCUAACACAUGCAAGUCGAGCGGAGCGGCGGACGGAUGAGUAAGGCCUAGGAAUCUGCCUGGCAGUGGGGGAUCACGUCCGGAAACGGGCGCUAAUACCGCAUACUAUCAGAUGAGCCUAGGUCGGAUUAGCUAGUUGGUGGGGUAAAGGCCUACCAAGGCGACGAGCCGUAACUGGUCUGAGAGGAGGCUCAGUCACACUGCAACUGAGACACGGUCCAGACUCCUACGGGAGGCAGGAGGGGGGAAUAGGGGACAAUGGGCAAAAGCCUGAUGCAGCCAUGCGGCGUGUGGGAAGAAGGUCUGCGGAUUGUAAAGCACUUUAAGUUGGGAGGCGUUACCAACAGAAUAAGCACCGGCUAACUUCGUGCCAGCAGCCGCGGUAAUAC
rnacentral:rRNA from 1 species